CCCAAACCCCUGUGAACAUACCACUUGUUGCCUCGGCGGAUCAGCCCGCUCCCGGUAAAACGGGACGGCCCGCCAGAGGACCCCUAAACUCUGUUUCUAUAUGUAACUUCUGAGUAAAACCAUAAAUAAAUCAAAACUUUCAACAACGGAUCUCUUGGUUCUGGCAUCGAUGAAGAACGCAGCAAAAUGCGAUAAGUAAUGUGAAUUGCAGAAUUCAGUGAAUCAUCGAAUCUUUGAACGCACAUUGCGCCCGCCAGUAUUCUGGCGGGCAUGCCUGUUCGAGCGUCAUUUCAACCCUCAAGCACAGCUUGGUGUUGGGACUCGCGUUAAUUCGCGUUCCUCAAAUUGAUUGGCGGUCACGUCGAGCUUCCAUAGCGUAGUAGUAAAACCCUCGUUACUGGUAAUCGUCGCGGCCACGCCGUUAAACCCCAACUUCUGAAUGUUGACCUCGGAUCAGGUAGGAAUACCCGCUGAACUUAAGCAUA
rnacentral:rRNA from 1 species